rnacentral:rRNA from 1 species
GAUGAACGCUGGCGGCGUGCCUAACACAUGCAAGUCGAGCGAUUUACUUCGGUAAAGAGCGGCGGACGGGUGAGUAACGCGUGGGUAAUCUGCCCUGUACACACGGAUAACAUACCGAAAGGUAUGCUAAUACGAGAUAAUAUACUUUUAUCGCACGGUAGAAGUAUCAAAGCUCCGGCGGUACAGGAUGGAACUGCGUCUGAUUAGCUAGUUGGUAAGGUAACGGCUUACCAAGGCGAGGAUCAGUAGCCGACCUGAGAGGGUGAUCGGCCACAUUGGAACUGAGACACGGUCCAAACUCCUACGGGAGGCAGCAGUGGGGAAGAUUGCACAAUGGUCGAAAGCCUGAUGCAGCAACGCCGCGUGAGCGAUGAAGGCCUUCGGGUCGUAAAGCUCUGUCCUCAAGGAAGAGAAUGACGGUACUUGAGGAGGAAGCCCCGGCUAACUACGUGCCAGCCGCCGCAGUAA